rnacentral:rRNA from 1 species
CCUACGGGAGGCUGCAAUGGGGAAUAUUGGACAAUGGGGGCAACCCUGAUCCAGCCAUGCCGCGUGUGUGAAGAAGGCCCUCGGGUUGUAAAGCACUUUCAGUGAGGAAGAACGCCUGGUGGUUAAUACCCAUCAGGAAAGACAUCACUCACAGAAGAAGCACCGGCUAACUCCGUGCCAGCAGCCGCGGUAAUACGGAGGGUGCGAGCGUUAAUCGGAAUUACUGGGCGUAAAGCGCGCGUAGGUGGCUUGAUAAGCCGGUUGUGAAAGCCCCGGGCUCAACCUGGGAACGGCAUCCGGAACUGUCAAGCUAGAGUGCAGGAGAGGAAGGUAGAAUUCCCGGUGUAGCGGUGAAAUGCGUAGAGAUCGGGAGGAAUACCAGUGGCGAAGGCGGCCUUCUGGACUGACACUGACACUGAGGUGCGAAAGCGUGGGUAGCAAACAGGAUUAGAUACCCCUGUAGUC